CCUACGGGAGGCAGCAGUGAGGAAUAUUGGUCAAUGGGCGCUAGCCUGAACCAGCCAAGUAGCGUGAAGGAUGACUGCCCUAUGGGUUGUAAACUUCUUUUAUAUGGGAAUAAAGUGCAGUAUGUAUACUGCUUUGCAUGUACCUUAUGAAUAAGGAUCGGCUAACUCCGUGCCAGCAGCCGCGGUAAUACGGAGGGUGCGAGCGUUAAUCGGAAUUACUGGGCGUAAAGCGCUCGUAGGCGGUAUGUCAAGUCAAGGGUGAAAUCCCCGCGCUCAACGUGGGAACUGCCUUUGAAACUGGCAAACUGGAGUGUGUGAGAGGAUAGUGGAAUUCCAGGUGUAGGAGUGAAAUCCGUAGAUAUCUGGAGGAACAUCAGUGGCGAAGGCGACUAUCUGGCACAUAACUGACGCUGAGGAGCGAAAGCGUGGGUAGCAAACAGGAUUAGAUACCCGUGUAGUC
rnacentral:rRNA from 1 species